UCACAGCCAGCCCUGGAAGUCAGACAGGCCCCCAGCUGUGGAAAGCCUUCGAUUAAUGACAGUGGGGCUCCAGCAUGAGAGGGGACAGGAUUUUACAGUUCCAACGACAACAUAUUUGAAGAUAAAGUGGUAGUGUCGCUCUGAAGUAUAAGACCAGCUUAUUUUGAACGUCCUUCACACCUCUGGGGUAGAGCCGGAAGACAAAGGGCAACACAAUAAAAAAAGGACAUCCUCACACCUUGUACAAGUCACCACGUUCAUUCACCCAAGAGUCACUUCUCUGAUGGUCUGGGAGGGGUCUGACUGAUUUCCAAAGCUGUUCCUGCGUCUGAUCACUGAGUCGGGCGUUUGAGCAGGAUGUCCGUGAAAGGAGAAGAGC